CCUACGGGGGGCAGCAGUGAGGAAUAUUGGUCAAUGGCCGGGAGACUGAACCAGCCAAGCCGCGUGAGGGAUGAAGGCACAGAGGAUUGUAAACUUCUUUUGUAAGGGAAUAAAGACUGGGACGCGUCCCCGGAUGAGUGUACCUGAAGAAAAAGCAUCGGCUAACUCCGUGCCAGCAGCCGCGGUAAUACGGAGGAUUCGAGCGUUAUCCGGAUUUAUUGGGUUUAAAGGGUGCGCAGGCGGCCUGUUAAGUCAGCGGUGAAAGGCCGGGGCUCAACCCGGGCCUUGCCGUUGAAACUGGCAGUCUUGAGUUCGAGAGAAGUAUGCGGAAUGCGCGGUGUAGCGGUGAAAUGCAUAGAUAUCACGAAGAACUCCGAUUGCGAAGGCAGCUUGCCGGCUCCACACUGACGCUGAGGCACGAAAGCGUGGGUAUCGAACAGGAUUAGAUACCCCAGUAGUC
rnacentral:rRNA from 1 species